CAAUAGCGUAUAUUUAAGUUGUUGCAGUUAAAAAGCUCGUAGUUGGAUUUCGGGUGGGACGCAGCGGUCUCGCAUUGCGUUUGUACUGCUGCAGCCCUCCUUCUUGCCGGGGGCGGCCUCUCGGACUUCACUGUCUGGGGGUCAGAAUCGGCGAUGUUACUUUGAGUAAAUUAGAGUGUUCAAAGCAAGCUUACGCUCUGAAUAUAAUAGCAUGGGAUAACACGACAGGACUCUGGCCUAUCGUGUUGGUCUAUAGGACCAGAGUAAUGAUUAAGAGGGACAGUCGGGGGCAUUCGUAUUCCGUUGUCAGAGGUGAAAUUCUUGGAUUUACGGAAGACGAACAUCUGCGAAAGCAUUUGCCAAGGAUGUUUNCACUGA
rnacentral:rRNA from 1 species